GGGCGCACGGGGAAUGCCUGGGCGUCAAGGGCCGAAGAAGGACGUGUAGCGCUGCGAAAAGCGACGGGGAAUCGCGCUAGGGUUGUGAUCCGUCGAUGUCCGAAUGGGGAAACCCGGCUAGGGGAAUGCCUAGUCAGCCGUUGGUGAACACAUAGCCAACGAGCGGGGAACUCGGGGAACUGAAACAUCUAAGUACCCGGAGGAAAAGAAACAAUUCCGUGAGUAGUGGCGAGCGAAAGCGGAGUAGCCCAAACCGUACUGGCGAAAGCUGGUGCGGGGUUGUAGGACGAACAAAUAGGUAGGGCGUGGUAGUAGAACGGCACUGGAAUGGCCGACCAUAGAGGGUGAAAGUCCCGUACAUAAAACUACAAACUACUGGUUCGUAUCCUGAGUACUGCGGGGCACGCUAACCCUGCAGGAAGCUGGGGGGUCCAAUCCUCCAAGGCUAAAUACCCUUGACGACCGAUAGUGAACAAGUACCGUGAG
rnacentral:rRNA from 1 species